GCCGGGGUAGCUCAGUCGGUAGAGCAGCUCACUCGUAAUGAGCAGGUCAGGGGUUCGAAUCCCCUCUCCGGCU
rnacentral:tRNA from 1 species